GCCUUUUGUCCUGUCAAGCACCUGCGCCCCAUCCCAGAUACGACGAAGGCUGUGGCCGGGGCAGGGGUGGGGGGAGGCGAGAAGCCUCAGAGCCGGGACCACAGUGAUGGCAGGGACCAUCCUUCGUCUCAUGUGUCCUCGCUCCAUCUAAAUAGGGCCCCUAACCGGCGCUGGUGAGAGGGGGAGCGCCGGGCUCCCCCGUGUGCGGUCAGCGGGGCUGCGCAGGCCACCGAGGCCCGAGGCCCGGCUGAGGGCUCAGCCCCCGACGGCAGCCUGAGCGCGACUCACCUGCGGGUGCGAACCUCCCUGUGUCCUGCCAAGAACAGAGAAUCUCUGAUUUUCUACCGUGGUUUGUCUUAGUUGCCUCUCAAUCAAUAAGUUGCCUUAUUGAUUCAUUUACUUUUUGCCAUUCUUUUAUUGUGCUUUUUUUAAGGAUUUUAUUUAUCCAUAAGCAGAGACACAGGCAGAGGGAGAAGCAGGCUCCCUGCAGGGAGCCCCAUAUGGGACUCGAUCCUGGGUCUCCAGGAUCACGCCUUGGGCUGAAGGCAGAUGCUCAACCACUGAGCCACCCGGGUGCCCCUUAUUAUACAUUUUUAUGGUAAAUUGUCUCAGGCAGGAAAUAAACAGAAAGACAGGGAGGGAGGGAGGUGCGGGGCGCAGGCUUGAUGGCCCGGCCCGCAGAGGACAGGGCACCUCGCUGCCCAGAUGGCGCCGCCGCCUGCCUUCCUGCCAAGGACGGGACAAGCCGCAAAUUUCCCGCCGACCAUGUGUGAUCUCUGUGGUCUUCCUCCCAAGCUCUUCCUCCAGCCACCCUCGACUGCAAAGGCGGCUCUACUCCUGGCUCUCCAGCACCAAGCGGCUUCAAGAAAGAGAAAAUAAGGACACUAGGCCUCUGGGCCAUGGAGUGGCCCCAUCAGGAAGCUGACGGGGAGUAAAAUGCCACCUACACGGGGCCUCUGUGUGGCCUUGAGUGAGUGUGUCCCAACGAGCUUCGGAGUUUUCACCUGGGCCACAUAGGUGCUGUGGGACAGAGCGUCCCGGGUUUCUCCGGGUGCCAAGGAACCGAGGGCCCGGGCCUGCCUUUGAGAGCUGGUACAAAGCCGUCCUCCUCCUCCUCCAGGGCUGCGAGGUGGCAGGUCUUCCUCCCUCUCCUGGCAUCAGGGCACCAGGCAGCAGGGACAGCACUGGGGCCUGAGUGACAAGGAGACGAGCUGGAAAAGGCUGUUUGCAGGGAGGAGGAGCAGCCCAGAACCACCAACGCCCUGCGUGCAGGGCCCAACCCGCACAGGGUCCCAGGGGACCCGGACCCGGACAGGGCGGCCCUGCAGAGAUGCCGAGCAUUCCUUCCAAAGGGGGGCGAGCCCAGGAAUCUGUGUUUUCCUACCGAUGCUGACCUCAGGCUCCGUCAGCCUCUGAGUCUCCACAGCUGCAUCCCUGGGCUCUAUCAGCCACCAGUCUGCAAGCCACGGAUUGAAGCGCUUUUCAACCAGGAGAUAAGGACAUUGGUUUGGCGACACACAAUAGUCUAGUCUUGUCUUUUCAAGGAAGCUGUGAUUUUUCAAGACACCAGAUUUCUAACUGUACCAACCACUUAACAUCACACACACAUGAAGUGAUGGGCAGGAGUUACACACAUUGAUCUUCUGAACCUAUUUCCUUCCGUCUUUGCACCAUUGUUCCCUUUGUGCCCAACCUUCACGUCAUGAAGGCCACGCAGUCUCUCAAAUCCCGAGGCUACGUAAAGGAACAGUUACCCUGGAGACA
rnacentral:lncRNA from 1 species